UACGUAGGUGGCAAGCGUUUGUUCGGAAUUAUUGGGCGUAAAGAGCGUGUAGGCGGUCCGGUAAGUCCGCUGUGAAAGUCGGGGCUCAACCCUCGAAUGCCGGUGGAUACUGUCGGGCUAGAGUGCGGAAGAGGCGAGUGGAAUCCUGGUGUAGCGGUGAAAUGCGCAGAUAUCAGGAGGAACACCUAUUGCGAAGGCAGCUCGCUGGGACGUAACUGACGCUGGAGACGCGAAAGCGUGGGAGCAACAGG
rnacentral:rRNA from 1 species